rnacentral:rRNA from 1 species
CCUACGGGUGGCAGCAGUGGGGAAUAUUGCACAAUGGGGGAAACCCUGAUGCAGCGACGCCGCGUGAGUGAAGAAGUAUUUCGUUAUGUAAAGCUCUAUCAGCAGGGAAGAAAAUGACGGUACCUGAGUAAGAAGCCCCGGCUAACUACGUGCCAGCAGCCGCGGUAAUACGUAGGGGGCAAGCGUUAUCCGGAUUUACUGGGUGGAAAGGGAGCGUAGACGGCAGUGCAAGUCUGAAGUGAAAGGCGGGGGCUCAACCCCCGGACUGCUCUGGAAACUGUACGGCUGGAGUGCAGGAGAGGUAAGUGGAAUUCCUAGUGUAGCGGUGAAAUGCGUAGAUAUUAGGAGGAACACCAGUGGCGAAGGCGGCUUGCUGGACGGUAACUGACGUUGAGGCUCGAAAGCGUGGGGAGCAAACAGGAUUAGAUACCCCUGUAGUC